rnacentral:rRNA from 1 species
AUGCAUGAGUCUGAAUCGCAUUUGUUAUUACUUCACAUGGUUGGAGAAAAACCGCCUAUGAUCAAAUGGUUUCCUUACAAGCAAUAUGCUCCAAUUAAUGACACAAUUAGGCUGCCGGAACGACCGCCCCCGCAACAGGGUAUCACGUCACCGGCAACACAAGGGCUCAUGUCGCCGGUGGCGCUAGCGCAGGUCUCGCGAGAGGUCUCUGGCACAUCGCCCGGGGCAACAGAUCGGGAUCGGGAUCAGGAUCGUGAGGGGAUCUCGGGCUAUCUCUCACCGGCGAGAUGGCGAGUCCGUUUCGAAGAUGUCCGGGCUGCGGUACGACGGCGCGAGGGAUUGUUAUACUCAUAUUCACCGUCGAGGUGGACGACGGUGACUGAUUCAGAGGGGGAUAUCCUCACCGGGCGGUGCCUGGAUGAAGGUGAGCAGAUUACCGAAGGUACGCGCCUGACGAUCGAUGUUUUCGACGUGUGGGUUGUUGAUUAUGUGCAGGGUUCGUCCAUUUCGGAAAAUCAGAUCGAGAUCAUGGAUCUCACGUCGGAACCUAAAUCCGCGAAGCCGGAGCCGCGCAUUGGUGGCAGUUUGGGUCCUGGUCGAUGA